GGGGGGGGGGGGGGGGGUGGCGGGGGCGUGGGGGGCGAGCGGGGGCGUGGGGGCUGGUGGCGCACGGGGGCGUCACGCGUGGGCACCUGCCCUUGGGUUCGGAAUAACUCCCCGAACUGUUUGCUCAUACCGGAUGAUGGCUUCGGCCCACAGCUUUAUCGCCUUUGGAUGGGCCCGCGUUGGAUUAGCUAGUUGGUAGGGUAAAAGCCUACCAAGGCGAGGAUCCAUAGCUAGUCUGAGAGGAUGAUCAGCCACACUGAGACUGAGACACGGCCCAGACUCCUACGGGAGGCAGCAGUGGGGAAUAUUGGACAAUGGGCGAAAGCCUGAUCCAGCAAGGCCGCGUGAGUGAUGAAGGCCUUAGGGUUGUAAAGCGCUUUUACCCGGGAUGAUAAUGACAGUACCGGGAGAAUAAGCUCCGGCUAACUCCGU
rnacentral:rRNA from 1 species